ACUGAGGAGGGAGGGGGUGGGGUAAGUGUGUAUGUGUGUGUGCGUGUGCGUGUGCGUGUGGGGGGAGCGUGCGCGCGCGCCUGUGGGGGAUCCCUUAGUCGUCUCCGCGGACCCCGCCCCUAGUGCAGCCCAAGUCUAUUCCGGGAGUGGAUUUCCCUUCUCCAAAUGGAGUGGCGGCACUGCGGCUUCCACUGGAGGGGAGUGGGAGAUGGAGGUGGGAACGACCUUGCGGUUGGAGUUUAUCUCUGCAAGAAAUUCUGCAAUCAAAUGCGGGUACCUCGUGGUUAUCCACAGUUGGGGCUGAACACCCGCACUCGCUGGUCACUUUCAUCUUUCAAGAGCAAAGGACUCACCUGGGUCUGGUGAAAGGAAGCUGCAGUAUUAGAUCGCCCUUUGUUAUCCACACCCUUAAUCUCAAGUAAAUCGGUAGUGACCUGGUCUGGCAGAAGCCCAAACCAACUAAUCUCCAGGGAAUCAUCACCACUCUAGCUUUUCAGGAUUAGUUUUUCAUUUCGGAACUUUAUCAUUUAACUCACUAACUCGUAUCCUGCAGCAAUGAUCCACUGAUACUAGACUAAAUUCUGCUCUUACACAAAGCAAUCGAUAUAGAGUAGUUUGCAAAUGAAUCCAGUGUGCAUGCAAAGGCAUGAUACUGAUAUAUUGCAAUAAAACAGUUAUUCCCUCACCUUCUCAGAACCCGAUAACAUUUUCUCUAUCUCCCUUCUGACCCUCAUUAUAUUUCCACCUUGUAUCAUAAUUUAGUGCAGGUGGGGAAUGGGGGAGAGGGUUCUCUCCCAAGUAAACCUGAAAAUUAUUCAA